GGAGGUAUCAGAAGUGCGAAUGCUGACAUAAGUAACGAUAAAGCGGGUGAAAAACCCGCUCGCCGGAAGACCAAGGGUUCCUGUCCAACGUUAAUCGGGGCAGGGUGAGUCGACCCCUAAGGCGAGGCCGAACGGCGUAGCUGAUGGGAAACAGGUUAAUAUUCCUGUACUGAAUGUGACUGCGAAGGGGGGACGGAGAAGGCUAGGCCAUCCGGGCGACGGUCGUCCCGGUUUAAGCGUGUAGGUGGGAGGAGCAGGCAAAUCCGCUCUUCUGUAACACUGAGGCGUGAUGACGAGCUGCUACGGCAGUGAAGUGGUUGAUGCCCGGCUUCCAGGAAAAGCCUCUAAGCAUCAGGUGACAUUGAAUCGUACCCCAAACCGACACAGGUGGUCAGGUAGAGAAUACUCAGGCGCUUGAGAGAACUCGGGUGAAGGAACUAGGCAAAAUGGUGCCGUAACUUCGGGAGAAGGCACGCUGGCGGUAGGUGAAGGAGUUUGCCUCCGGAGCCGAAGCCAGUCGCAGAGACCAGCUGGCUGCAACUGUUUAUUAAAAACACAGCACUGUGCAAACACGUAAGUGGACGUAUACGGUGUGACGCCUGCCCGGUGCUGGAAGGUUAAUUGAUGGGGUUAGCCGCAAGGCGACGCUCUUGAUCGAAGCCCCAGUAAACGGCGGCCGUAACUAUAACGGUCCUAAGGUAGCGAAAUUCCUUGUCGGGUAAGUUCCGACCUGCACGAAUGGCGUAAUGAUGGCCAGGCUGUCUCCACCCGAGACUCAGUGAAAUUGAACUCGCUGUGAAGAUGCAGUGUCCCCGCGGCAAGACGGAAAGACCCCGUGAACCUUUACUAUAGCUUGACACUGAACAUGGAGCCUUGAUGUGUAGGAUAGGUGGGAGGCCUGGAAGUGCGGACGCCAGUCUGCAUGGAGCCAUCCUUGAAAUACCACCCUUGAAUGUUUGAUGUUCUCACUUAAGCCCGUGACCCGGGUUGAGGACAGUGUCUGGCGGGUAGUUUGACUGGGGCGGUCUCCUCCCAAAGCGUAACGGAGGAGCACGAAGGUUGGCUAAUCACGGUCGGACAUCGUGAGGUUAGUGCAAAGGCAGAAGCCAGCUUAACUGCGAGAGUGACGGCUCGAGCAGGUACGAAAGUAGGUCUUAGUGAUCCGGUGGUUCUGAAUGGAAGGGCCAUCGCUCAACGGAUAAAAGGUACUCCGGGGAUAACAGGCUGAUACCGCCCAAGAGUUCAUAUCGACGGCGGUGUUUGGCACCUCGAUGUCGGCUCAUCACAUCCUGGGGCUGAAGUAGGUCCCAAGGGUAUGGCUGUUCGCCAUUUAAAGUGGUACGCGAGCUGGGUUUAGAACGUCGUGAGACAGUUCGGUCCCUAUCUGCCGUGGGCGCAGGAAGAUUGAAAGGGGCUGCUCCUAGUACGAGAGGACCGGAGUGGACGCACCGCUGGUGUACGGGUUGUCAUGCCAAUGGCAUCGCCCGGUAGCUAAGUGCGGGAGAGAUAACCGCUGAAAGCAUCUAAGCGGGAAACUUGCCUUGAGAUGAGUCUUCCCUUGA
rnacentral:rRNA from 1 species